AAGUCGUAACAAGGUUUCCGUAGGUGAACCUGCGGAAUGAAUCUUGUAGCCCACACGGAACAGCAAUCCCGGUAAAUCAAUUGGAGGAAAGGUUUUGAUUCGGGACCUCUGUCCAUCAGGUUACAAUCGAGCUAGGAGCAGUGGCAUGGUUUCCCUAAGCAGUGCAGAAGGAUCCACUGAGUAAGGAUAACGCCUCACGGUUGCCAGAGGUCGAUCACCGGCCGGCAGACAUGUCACAGGGCUUUAUGCCCCCUCAUUCACACCUUGCCCUAUCAAGCCCCGCGGAAACGUUGGGGCACAAACUCGAACAACUGUUAACAAUGGAUAUCUUGGUUCUC
rnacentral:misc_RNA from 1 species